rnacentral:rRNA from 1 species
UACGGAGGGGGCUAGCGUUGUUCGGAAUUACUGGGCGUAAAGGGCUCGUAGGCGGCCAACUAAGUCAGACGUGAAAUCCCUCGGCUUAACCGGGGAACUGCGUCUGAUACUGGAUGGCUAGAGAUUGGGAGAGGGAUGCGGAAUUCCAGGUGUAGCGGUGAAAUGCGUAGAUAUCUGGAGGAACACCGGUGGCGAAGGCGGCAUCCUGGACCAACACUGACGCUGAGGAGCGAAAGCCAGGGGAGCAAACGGG